rnacentral:rRNA from 1 species
UACCUAGGGUGCAAGCGUUGUCCGGAAUUAUUGGGCGUAAAGCGCGCGCAGGUGGUUCCUUAAGUCUGAUGUGAAAGCCCCCGGCUCAACCGGGGAGGGUCAUUGGAAACUGGGGAACUUGAGUGCAGAAGAGGAUAGUGGAAUUCCAAGUGUAGCGGUGAAAUGCGUAGAGAUUUGGAGGAACACCAGUGGCGAAGGCGACUGUCUGGUCUGUAACUGACGCUGAGGCGCGAAAGCGUGGGGAGCAAACAGG